rnacentral:tRNA from 1 species
AUUUAAAUAGCUUAUUUAAGAGUUUAAUAUUGAAAAUAUUAAGGUAAUAUAUUAUAUAUAUAUUUUUAAAUG